rnacentral:misc_RNA from 1 species
GUAAAACCAAGGCAGUAAAUCCAAAGGAGGAACUUGAAGAAUAUGAUAGCCCAACCCAAAGUUCCUAACAUGACUAGCCAAUGUCUGCUGAAGAAUUUGCUUCUCCAUAAACAAGGAGCACCUGCACUUCCCAAGCCGACUGCAAGAGACCACGGACUGAAGCAACAAGGGACAAGCAACUACCCGAAGGAACCGUAGCACCCUUUGCCAUGGAGACUUCCCUUCAUUAUCACACUCUACAAUAACUGUACGCAACCCCAACUCUUUAGCAAGUUUCCUGAAACAAAGCCCACAGUUCGGCCUUCAUGAUCAAGCAACUACCAAGAUUAGCUACAAACCACUUAUCCACCCGGCUGCGCUAUCCCCGACCAACCCACCACCAUAAGCUCUCCCUGAGACAGAAUUAAAAGACCCUAUCAAUUUUAACUUUGUACCACUGAACAGGACCCAACGAAAAUUUUUUCUCGAGUACUACUACUGCCUGUUGUCGCCAUGCACGACAUCACCUCAUUAAAAGCUUUGGCAUGGGAGUCUGGGACAAGAUUUCCUGAAAUAAAACGUCGACACUCUUGUAACCAGCAGCGAAAAUGGCCUCAUUACUUCUCUUCUAAAGAAGCCAGCAACCCUCUCCGAACGAGGACCAAAGGUAAAUCAAAACUGUCAAUCCAACUCAGCUCCAAGUUUAGUAAAAUCCAAUCAUUAACCGUAGCCCCUGAGUUACAAAACACAAUCAUUCCAAAGUAGGUUGCGAAAAUCUACGAAGUUGCAUCGCCACAGGACAAUCCCUUGGGACAUGCAUGAUAGAUUCCUCCGCACACAUACAAAUGAAGCAUAUGGAUGAAGAGCUGAAAUGCCUCUUGAUUCGUAAGCAACCCAUUAUUCAUGAGUCAUCACCAACCAAAUAAACAUCCUCGCCCAUUAUUCGUUCUGUAUAAAGGAAAUCUUUGAUUUUGUUUUUUUAAGUGCAGAGGAAAAGAAACACAUGUAAAAAAUUAAUUAGUGAUUUUUAACCCAUCUAAACAAGAGCUUUGAUUUUUAACUGUCAAACAGAAAAUUUACUUGUCCAAAUGUGCACCUUCGCAUCCCAUUAGCAACUUCAUCGUUGCCGCAUUGGAUUGUAUUAAAAAGGAAUAGUAACUUAUUGAAGGGGAGUGUAUUCUGUGUUAUAUCGGGUAUUAUGAAGGAGGACUCCUUUCAAUUAGUUACCAAAUUCCUCCACAAGUACAGCUACCAUUCAAAAAUCUAUAGUAUAUGUCAACUCCUCUAACAAUAAUCUUUCUUUUCACGACUCUGCUGAAAUACUUAAAAGCCUUAUGGCAAUCCCUGCAAAUCCUCGAGUUUGUCACAAUCCUCAAUGCCUUCCCUGGUGGGGCUACUCCACUAACCACACCAGAUGCGAGGAUACCAAAGGGCCUCCCUUUUCUCCAUUACCCCUAGCAACAUCUCAUCCCAAACCGGCACUUGUCCUAAUUUGUCUAUCUUCUCCAUCAACUCAGCUAACUUGAUUUCUUCUUGUCUCUCAUGCCUCCUAUCCUCUGCCAGAAACAUAUAAACCUUUCCUUUCACUUCAAUCCAACUCUUCCCUUGUUUCUUCUUCACCCUCCUAUAUUUCAUUAGCUUUCCUCAAUUCAGUAACUUCAUCCCACCUUCCUUUAGCCGAUAACACAUGCGCAAUAAUUGCAUAAGCCAAGUCAUCAUGAGGGUCUAAUUCCAAUAGCCUCUUAGCCAUUCACAGGCCUUGUCCGCUGCACCAUGAUAUGCACGAGACGAUAACAAUGUUCGCCAGACUGCAGCAUCUGGCUCAAACGGCAUUGUCACUGCAAUCUGCUCUGCUUCCUCCAAUCGUCCCGCUUGCCCCACUGCACCCACCAAGCAUUUAUAAUACGUGGUUCGACCCUGUACUCCACUCUCAUCCUUCGAAGCCAGUGUUCACUCUCAAGAAACAAACCAGCAUCACAGAAAGCCGUUAAGAAAGCCAAAAGAGUGAACCUAUCAGGUACGAGCCCUUUAGCCUGCAUAUCAUUAUACAUGCCAAGCACGGCGCCCUUAUCCCCCAGUUGAGCAUAAACAUCUAUCAUAGCAUUCCAACCCACCAUGUUCAACCCACGCAACAACUGCGCUUUCCUAUAUCCACCAAUCAAGGUACUCCCUACAACCACGUUCCCCUACAAUCCCGCAACAACAGCGUGCCGUGAAUCACUCUACAAUGCUCCAACGACCCCAUCUGCGAGGCUGCAUUUAAAGCACCAGAAACAGUAGAAAUCGUCGACCCCACAUUACAACCCUUCAUCUCAACAAACGCCGGCAACGCAUCUAUCGGUCUAGAAUUCUGCGCCCGCCAACAAUCAAAGCACCGUCACAAACCUCAUCUCUGUGAACCAUUUCAUCGAACACCUUCCGUGCGUUCUGAGGCAAACGAUAUUUGGCGCCAGCCUAAUCAAUCCAGAACCAAGAAAGGGUUGAGUAUUGAGGGAGAGGUUGAAAGCCAUGGAGUGAAGAGCGAGGCCAAAAGACAGAGAGGAGAGGUUGGUGCAGGCUUCGAAGAGGGAAGCGAGGGUGCGUUGGGUGGGGAGAAAAUGGUGGCGGAGCGUGGAGAGGAAGGAGUGAGUGUGCACAGAAAUGAGGGAUGUCCGUUAAACGACGUUGGGAGAUGAGAGUUGAGAGAAGAGACGAUGGGAGUAGGAGACGAUAAGGGGAUAAUAGAGUUGGCGUAGAGAGUGAUUAAGCCGUUGAAGAAGGAAAGCUCAGUGCGAGGAGAUAUGAUGGCUUGGGCAUGCAUGUAGGAUGCGCGGGUCAGUGUUUGGUUCUAUUGGAUGCUUUGUUGCCAUGCCUUGCAAUAGAAGCUUUGUGAUAACUUUCUACAACUUUCAAUCUCUCGUGCCCAGCUGUGAUGUUCAACAUUCAUUUGGAGUUACCAGUUAAGACAAAUCAAGUCUUCAGUUCUUAGAGAUUCUAUGGUUUUAAUCAAAUGAUCUUAAAACAAUAGAAUAUGGGUAUAGUUUCUGGAGGUAAAAUCCAGCCAACACCAUGAUAAUCGGCUCCCUUCUAUGGGCGGUGACACGAAGAUCCUCGCUGUUGAAAUCCAUAUCAAGUACCAGCUGCCUGGUGAGGAUCUUGAUGCUUUAAUUUUUGUCACCAACGAUGAAGACCUUUCUGUUUGGGUUGAAUAAGUUGGUAAUGAUUGUUAAUUUUUGUGAAUUGCUGAUUUUUGCGAUGAGACAUUUAUUGAAUUUGAAAUGAGAUUUAUGCAUUUACUAAUUUGGAAUAAGAAUGAAAUUAAC